rnacentral:rRNA from 1 species
UUGGCGGGGUAAUGGCCCACCAAGGCAACGAUGGGUAGCCGACCUGAGAGGGUGAUCGGCCACACUGGGACUGAGACACGGCCCAGACUCCUACGGGAGGCAGCAGUGGGGAAUAUUGCGCAAUGGGGGGAACCCUGACGCAGCAACGCCGCGUGAGUGAAGAAGGCCUUCGGGUCGUAAAACUCUGUCAUAGGGGAAGAAAAAGAUGACGGUACCCUAUGAGGAAGCCCCGGCUAACUACGUGCCAGCAGCCGCGGUAAUACGUAGGGGGCGAGCGUUGUCCGGAAUUACUGGGCGUAAAGGGUGCGCAGGCGGCCGAUUAAGUCAGAUGUGAAAUACCACGGCUCAACUGUGGGGGUGCAUUUGAAACUGGUUGGCUUGAGUGCAGGAGAGGAAAGUGGAAUUCCUAGUGUAGCGGUGAAAUGCGUAGAGAUUAGGAGGAACACCAGUGGCGAAGGCGACUUUCUGGACUGUAACUGACGCUGAGGCACGAAAGCGUGGGUAGCGAACAGGAUUAGAUACCCUGGUAGUCCACGCCGUAAACGAUGGAUACUAGGUGUAGGGGGUAUCGACCCCCCCUGUGCCGGAGUUAACGC